UUGCGCUGCACGGCAGACCCGCCGGUGUCCGGGUCAAGUAGGGGCAUCUUCCUUUUUCCUCGGACUCCAAAAUGGCUCAGCAAGGCACCGCGAGGAUCCGGUCUCUAUUUAGAAUUCAAUAUUGUGUUCCUGGAUUUUUUUUUAUUUUUUAUUUUUUUGCAACGGGUUCGUUUUAAUUGUUUUUAAAAGCGCUACAUAUUUGAACACUGACUUUUUACGAAAUUUUACGCCACCGAUACGCCGAUCAGGCCCUGAAGGGGCCACGACUGCGCACCGACCGCGGCGUCCGGGUGGCGGCUCUGGGGCGCCAAGGCACUCGGGGUGGGAGGUCAGCAGUCCCAGGCUCACUGCGUGGCCUCUCCCGUGGGGACGGGUGUGUACUUCCUCCCGGGGGCAAAGGGGGCCUGUGUCCCGGUUUCUCAUUUGCUGAGCCGGCUGUAAGGCUCUGUAGACUCGCUCUCACCGGCACACCCGGAACGUGCGCCCUGUCCAGGGGGCGCCCCCAGUCCCGACCGGCCCGGACCGCGCGUUCCUCUCUGGCGUCCCAGGAAUCCGGCCCCGCCAGGCCCGCCGGCUGAGAGCUCUCUCGGCUCAGGAAGCGCCGGCGCCUUUACCCGGGCUUGGACAGGAUUUCUCUUGGAGGGGCCUCUGGGUCGGAGGCAGGUCUGGGCUAAUUUCACUGGUGUGUCUGGAGCUGCGGAGCGUCUCUGGGCCAUACCGGCCGCGCUGCGCCAGCCUUUGUUUCCCGGACCCGACCCCCCCUCCCCCCUCGCCCAGCGCUCACGUGGUCGGGAACUGGAAUGAUCUGUGUUGCCUGGAACCGCUGGCUGGGCUUCCUAGAUCAGCGGACGCCGGAGCUUCCCCCCGGCUCUGAGAAUGCCCGAAAGGACUGGGGAGCUGUCUCCUCCAAGCAGAAAAGUGUGUGUCCACUGCGUGCCUUUAGGCAACACGUAUAAAUGGAAUUGAGGAAUUUGGGUCUUUCCCUGCCCACCUCUGAGCAUCAAGUCAGAACUCAAAAACUGGAAGGUUCUUCAAUAUUUAGACUGAACAUCAAGCAGUGUCCAAAAACAGGCUCGGGCGCCUGGGUGGCUCAAAUGGUUAAGAGUCUGCCUUCAGCCCAGAAUCCUGGAUUCCAGUCCUGCAUCCGGCUCCCUGCGUCUCCCUCUGCCCCUCCUCCUCCCCCUGCUUGUGCGCUCUCUCUCUCUCUGACAAAUAAAUAAACGACAUCUAAAAAAUAA